AUUAUGAUUGUUUGUUCCACAGGCUGCUUUGUACCGCCUUAGUGGAGACUGGAAUCCCUUACACAUCGACACUACCUUUGCUAGCAUGGCAGGUUUCAAGAAACCCAUAUUGCAUGGAUUGUGUACCUUUGGAUUUUCUGCAAGGCAUAUCUUACGGCGGUUUGCAGAAAACGAUGUGUCGAGGUUCAAGGCAAUUAAGGUUCGUUUUGCAAAGCCAGUGUAUCCUGGACAAACUCUGCAAACUGAGAUGUGGGAGGAAGGAAACAGAAUCCACUUUCAAACCAAGGUAUGAAGGAGAGAGCUUCAG